rnacentral:rRNA from 1 species
UACGUAGGGUGCAAGCGUUGUCCGGAAUUAUUGGGCGUAAAGAGCUCGUAGGCGGUCUGUCGCGUCGGCUGUGAAAACUCGGGGCUCAACCCCGAGCCUGCAGUCGAUACGGGCAGACUAGAGUGCUGUAGGGGAGACUGGAAUUCCUGGUGUAGCGGUGAAAUGCGCAGAUAUCAGGAGGAACACCGGUGGCGAAGGCGGGGUCUCUGGACAGUUCUGACGUGAGGCACGAAGGUCAGGGGAGCAAAACAGG